GAUUUCCUUAGUAACGGCGAGCGAACAGGAAUCAGCCCAGCGCCAAGGCUUGACACUUGACGUGUUCAAGCGAUGCGGCGUUAGUGUAUUAGUGCAUCGUACACUGCCACGUGCUUUAAGUUCCUUUGACAGGGACUCCCAGAGUGGGUGCUAGGCCCAUAAAGGCUGCGAGGCUGGUGUACGCAAACUAAUGCAUCUUAGAGUCAGGUUACUUGAGAGUGUAACCCAAAGCGGGUGGUAAACUCCAUCUAAGGCUAAAUAUUGCAGCGUGACCGAUAGCAAACAAGUACCGUGAGGGAAAGUUGCAAAGAACUUUGAAGAGAGAGUUCAAUAGGACGUGAAACCACUGACAGGCAAACGGGUGGAACCACGAAGUGUGCCUGAACAGUAAUUCAGCUUCAAGGGGUGACUUGUGUUGUAAGCAUUUGGGCUACUCUUUUGUGGUCAUGCUUGCGGCGCAUACAAUUGCCCCUUGAAGUGCAUUUUAUCUGUUGAGUGCUAAAGCCACGUCCGAUUAGGUGGCUGGAAUGACCGUAGUGGGAGGUGCAAGGAAGGUAGCUGUCUUGAUGGCCUCGGCCGUCUCGUGCAGUGUUAUAGCCUUGUGCCCGUGUCAUUACCUAGCGUGCUGAUCGGUGUAAAAACUCCAACUUGGAGUAUUGCCAGUAAUGGGUUGCCUCACUUUUGCUGCUCUGGCUAAUGUGCUGCUGCGCGCUUAUGUGUCUUCGGGCAUACUAAGACGUGGCAGUAUUGUUGGUCAGCGGUGGUACCUGUGUGGGUAGCUUGCGCAAACUGUGGUGCGAGUAGGUCGGUCUCCACCCGACCCGUCUUGAAACACGGACCAAGGAGCCUAACACAUACGCAAGUCGCACGGUCUUGUUUAGGCCUGUGAGGCGAAAUGAAAAUAAACUGCUACGAAAUUGUAGACCUUCCCGGUUGGCAAUUGCAAUAGCGGCCUGCCUACUUCCUUUAUCUGGGGAUAUGGUGGAGCUGGAGCGUAUGCGUUGGUACCCGAAAGAUGGUGAACUAUGCCUGGGCAAGACGAAGCCAGAGGAAACUCUGGUGGAGGUCUGUAGCGAUUCUGACGUGCAAAUCGAUCGUCAGACCUGGGUAUAGGGGCGAAAGACUAAUCGAACCAUCUAGUUGCUGGUUCCCUCUGAAGUUUCCCUCAGGAUAGCAGGCGCUUGGAUUGAACACAGUUUCAUCCGGUAAAGCUAAUGAUUAGAGGUCUUGGGGCCUAAUCGGCCUCAACCUAUUCUCAAACUUUAAAUGGGUGAGAUGCAUGACUUGCUUGAUUUGAAGCCAUGCAAUUGAAUGUAUGAGUGCCUAGUGGGCCAUUUUUGGUAAGCAGAACUGGCGCUGUGGGAUGAACCAAACGUUGAGUUAAGGCAUCAAAUGCGUACGCUCAUCAGACCCCAGAAAAGGUGUUGGUUGCUAUAGACAGCAGGACGGUGGCCAUGGAAGUCGGAAUCC
rnacentral:rRNA from 1 species